rnacentral:lncRNA from 1 species
ACUUGCAAUAAAUCCUCUUUGACGGUAUGCCAUGCUGCUCUCCAAAAUACAAAAUUAAAACCAUCUGGACCCGGGCUCUUAUCCCCGCUGCAACUCCAAACCGCCGUCUUAAUCUCGUCCAGAUCAAAAUCCCGAAUCAACCAUACUCUUUCCUCGUUCGAAAGCCUCAUUUUCAUAAGAUCAAGAGGAAGGUUUGGUAAAUGGCGCUGUCGUCGUUUGAAGAAAGAUCCGAAAUGAUCUCUGAUUCUGGCUUUGAUUUCAACCGGGUUUGAAAUCCACUGAUUCUCAAAAACAAGACCAGAAAUUUCAUUUCUUUUACGUCUCCCAAUUAUGGCCCGAUGAAA